GGUACUCGCGAAUGCUCUAGAUUAGAGUUUGAUCAUGGCUCAGGCACGAACGCUGGCGGCGUGCCUAAUACAUGCAAGUCGAGCGAACAGAGAAGGAGCUUGCUCCUUCGGCGUUAGCGGCGGACGGGUGAGUAACACGUGGGCAACCUACCUUAUAGUUUGGGAUAACUCCGGGAAACCGGGGCUAAUACCGAAUAAUCUAUUUUACUUCAUGGUGAAAUACUGAAAGACGGUUUCGGCUGUCGCUAUAAGAUGGGCCCGCGGCGCAUUAGCUAGUUGGUGAGGUAACGGCUCACCAAGGCGACGAUGCGUAGCCGACCUGAGAGUGGUGAUCGGCCACACUGGGACUGAGACACGGCCCAGACUCCUACGGGAGGCAGCAGUAGGGAAUCUUCCACAAUGGGCGAAAGCCUGAUGGAGCAAACGCCGCGUGAGUGAAGAAGGUUUUCGGAUCGUAAAACUCUGUUGUAAGGGCAAGAACAAGGUACAAGGUAGUAACUGGGCUUGUACCU
rnacentral:rRNA from 1 species